CCCUUAGAUGUCCUGGGCCGCACGCGCGCUACACUGACAUGUUCAACAAGUUUCUCCUAGUUCGACAGGACUGGGAAAUCUUUGAACGCAUGUCGUGAUAGGGAUAGAUCAUUGCAAUUAUUGAUCUUGAACGAGGAAUUCCUAGUAAACGCGAGUCAUCAGCUCGCAUUGAUUACGUCCCUGCCCUUUGUACACACCGCCCGUCGCACCUACCGAUUGGAUGGUCCGGUGAAGCCUCGGGAUUGUGGCGGUUGCCUUUAUUGGUGGCCGCCGCGAGAACUUGUCUAAACCUUAUCAUCUAGAGGAAGGUGAAGUCGUAACA
rnacentral:rRNA from 1 species